GGAUUAGAUACCCUGGUAGUCCUGGCCGUAAACGAUGGGCACUAGGCAAUGGCCUUACCUAUGUGGGUCAUUGCUGUAGCUAAUGUGUUAAGUGCCCCGCCUGGGGAGUACGCUCGCAAGGGUAAAACUCAAAGGAAUUGACGGGGGAUCACACAAGCGGUGGAGCAUGUGGUUUAAUUCGAAGCAACGCGAAGAACCUUACCUAGCCUUGACAUCUAUGGAUUAGUCCUGUGAAAGCAGGGUGACUGCCCUUCGGGGUCGGAACAUAGACAGGUGUUGCAUGGCUGUCGUCAGCUCGUGUCG
rnacentral:rRNA from 1 species